rnacentral:rRNA from 1 species
GAUGAACGCUGGCGGCGUGCCUAAUACAUGCAAGUCGAGCGAAUGGAUUGAGGGCUUGCUCUUAUGAAGUUAGCGGCGGACGGGUGAGUAACACGUGAGUAACCUGCCCAUAAGACUGGGAUAACUCCGGGAAACCGGGGCUAAUACCGGAUAACAUUUUGAACCGCAUGGUUCGAAAUUGAAAGGCGGCUUCGGCUGUCACUUAUGGAUGGACCCGCGUCGCAUUAGCUAGUUGGUGAGGUAACGGCUCACCAAGGCAACGAUGCGUAGCCGACCUGAGAGGGUGAUCGGCCACACUGGGACUGAGACACGGCCCAGACUCCUACGGGAGGCAGCAGUAGGGAAUCUUCCGCAAUGGACGAAAGUCUGACGGAGCAACGCCGCGUGAGUGAUGAAGGCUUUCGGGUCGUAAAACUCUGUUGUUAGAGAAGAACAAGUGCUAGUUGAAUAAGCUGGCACCUUGACGGUACCUAACCAGAAAGCCACGGCUAACUACGUGCCAGCAGCCGCGGUAA